GUCGAACGAUGAAUCACUUCGGUGGGGAUUAGUGGCGAACGGGUGAGUAACACGUGGGCAAUCUGCCCUGCACUCUGGGACAAGCCCUGGAAACGGGGUCUAAUACCGGAUAUGACCAUCUUGGGCAUCCUUGAUGGUGUAAAGCUCCGGCGGUGCAGGAUGAGCCCGCGGCCUAUCAGCUUGUUGGUGAGGUAAUGGCUCACCAAGGCGACGACGGGUAGCCGGCCUGAGAGGGCGACCGGCCACACUGGGACUGAGACACGGCCCAGACUCCUACGGGAGGCAGCAGUGGGGAAUAUUGCACAAUGGGCGAAAGCCUGAUGCAGCGACGCCGCGUGAGGGAUGACGGCCUUCGGGUUGUAAACCUCUUUCAGCAGGGAAGAAGCGAAAGUGACGGUACCUGCAGAAGAAGCGCCGGCUAACUACGUGCCAGCAGCCGCGGUAAUACGUAGGGCGCGAGCGUUGUCCGGAAUUAUUGGGCGUAAAGAGCUCGUAGGCGGCUUGUCACGUCGGUUGUGAAAGCCCGGGGCUUAACCCCGGGUCUGCAGUCGAUACGGGCAGGCUAGAGUUCGGU
rnacentral:rRNA from 1 species